rnacentral:tRNA from 1 species
GGGGGUAUAGCUCAGUGGUAGAGUGCGUGCUUAGCAUGCACGAGGUCCUGAGUUCAAUCCCCAGUACCUCCA